UACCUGCAGCUCGAGUGGUAACCGCUAUUAUUGGGCCUAAAGCGUCCGUAGCCGGUUUGGUAAGUAUCUGGGUAAAUCGUGAGGCUUAACUUCACGAAUUUCGGAUAGACUGCCAGACUUGGGAUCGGGGGAGGUCAGAGGUACUCCAGGGGUAGCGGUGAAAUGUUGUAAUCCUUGGAGGACCACCGGUAGCGAAGGCGUCUGACUAGAACGAGUCCGACGGUGAGGGACGAAGCCCUGGGGCGCAAACCGGAUUAGAUACCCGGGUAGUCCAGGGUGUAAACAAUGUGGGCUUUGUAUUGGAGGUUCCACGUGGGCGUCCAGUGCAGAAGAGGAGUUGUUAAGCCCACCGCCUGGGAAGUACGGUCGCAAGGCUGAAACUUAAAGGAAUUGGCGGGGAGCACCGCAACGGGUGGAGCGUGCGGUUU
rnacentral:rRNA from 1 species